rnacentral:rRNA from 1 species
UACGUAGGGUGCAAGCGUUAAUCGGAAUUACUGGGCGUAAAGCGUGCGCAGGCGGUUAUUCAAGACAGAUGUGAAAUCCCCGGGCUCAACCUGGGAACUGCGUUUGUGACUGUAUGACUAGAGUACGGUAGAGAGGGGUGGAAUUCCUGGUGUAGCAGUGAAAUGCGUAGAUAUCAGGAGGAACAUCGAUGGCGAAGGCAGCCCCUUGGACCUGUACUGACGCUCAUGCACGAAAGCGUGGGGAGCAAACAGG